AUGGUUUGCAGUACCCGCGUCAAAGAAACCAAUGACAAUAAUUCGGUGCCUUGUUUUAUGCUCACAGUUUUGCCUUGCCUGAGAACUUAUGGCAGCAAUAUUGAUAGCGCUCAUCUCAAUCUUCUAUAUGCUAACUGUUCGCUCAAGAUUUCUACUUAUCGGUUUGUAACAAGAUUUGGGAAAGGCAUGGUUAGGAUUGAUAUUUUGAGGAUUGAUGAAGGAGCUUUGGAAAUUAGGAGUGAUGGAAAAGUUUUAGCUUAUGAUAGGAAUCUUCAUACAAUUCUCUUGGUGGUUCAUUGUUGA